GCUAGGACAGAGAAACAAGUCGUCUUCUAGCGACAGCCUGGUGCGCACACGGUCCUCGAGCAUCCCCAGACCGACGGCACGGCAGCUGCUGGGCCUGCAGGUUAAUACACGUAAAGUAACCUGUGUGUCUCCAAGAGAGGAUCGGGGUUGUUUGCUGAAGAAGCCUAUAGGUAAAGGGACAUCCAUACAUUCACACGGGAGGAUUCGUAAAGGCAGGGACGAGAAUAUAAAGGUAUUAUUUUGAUGUGACGAGCCCCGCUUGGAAAAUGUCUUCGACGCAUCUGAAGUUGUUGCCACUUUUGCUGCCUUCGACUCGGAGAAGUCGAGUAAUUCUCCGGCCCCUUUGAAAUACAUCUCGUCUGCACCAAAUUUCUGCCGACAAACCAACCGAUAGAUACGGAUAUAUUUAUAUUCAUGGGUCUGAAUGCAUUGAAGUCCAUGUGGAAAAAUCCUCCUUCACCUUCCUGGAGAAGGGUGGUGGAAUCAACCUGAGGUCAGCUCUGCCUGUUUGGCAUUUUAUUAGAAGCACACGGUCCAGCUAAAUUCAGAUGAUUUUUUUCUUUGUUUGUUUGUUUGUCUGCUUGUAUUAGUGGAAAUUAAAGCAUUGCCAAGGUUUGUGCUUCCUGCGUGUCACAACCAUCGCCGCCUUUAACCAGCAUCAUGAGCAGCUUGGCUUGCACGCCACAGAUAGCUGCCCGCCUCCGGCACC